rnacentral:lncRNA from 1 species
GGGAGUGGGUGGGAAUCACAUAAUAGAUGACACGGUUGAUCUUCUGGAAAAGAGAAUAGAUGUACAGGCCAUGGCUCAGAGAGCAGGACCAGGACAAGGACCAGGACCAGGACCAAACUUCCUACUUCAGAUCCCUGAAGGAGCCUGGAAGCGGAUCACAGCCCAGGGAGGGCACGGGAAUCUCUGCAUUUUCACAAGCACGGCAAGUGGCUCUGAUCACACUAAAGUUCCAGAAUUUACUCAAGAUUUCAAGAUGUUCACGCAGAGUCUGUCGAGCUCACCUCUGGAUACCCCAGCUCCUACACGAAGCAAAUGUUUCUUUUUUUAUUUUUUGAGACAGUCUCACUGUGUUGCCCAUGCUGGAGUGCAGU